GACGAACGCUGGCGGCGUGCUUAACACAUGCAAGUCGAACGGAAAGGCCCUGCUUUUGUGGGGUGCUCGAGUGGCGAACGGGUGAGUAACACGUGAGUAACCUGCCCUUGACUUUGGGAUAACUUCAGGAAACUGGGGCUAAUACCGGAUAGGAGCUCCUGCUGCAUGGUGGGGGUUGGAAAGUUUCGGCGGUUGGGGAUGGACUCGCGGCUUAUCAGCUUGUUGGUGGGGUAGUGGCUUACCAAGGCUUUGACGGGUAGCCGGCCUGGGAGGGUGACCGGCCACAUUGGGACUGAGAUACGGCCCAGACUCCUACGGGAGGCAGCAGUGGGGAAUAUUGCACAAUGGGCGGAGGCCUGAUGCAGCAACGCCGCGUGCGGGAUGACGGCCUUCGGGUUGUAACCCGCUUUCGCCUGUGACGAAGCGUGAGUGACGGUAAUGGGUAAAGAAGCACCGGCUAACUACGUG
rnacentral:rRNA from 1 species